AUUGAACGCUGGCGGCAGGCUUAACACAUGCAAGUCGAGCGGGGAGAUGGUGCUUGCACUAUCACUUAGCGGCGGACGGGUGAGUAAUGCUUAGGAAUCUGCCUAUUAGUGGGGGACAACAUCUCGAAAGGGAUGCUAAUACCGCAUACGUCCUACGGGAGAAAGCAGGGGAUCACUUGUGACCUUGCGCUAAUAAAUGAGCCUAAGUCGGAUUAGCUGGUUGGUGGGGUAAAGGCCUACCAAGGCGACGAUCUGUAGCGGGUCUGAGAGGAUGAUCCGCCACACUGGGACUGAGACACGGCCCAGACUCCUACGGGAGGCAGCAGUGGGGAAUAUUGGACAAUGGGGGGAACCCUGAUCCAGCCAUGCCGCGUGUGUGAAGAAGGCCUUAUGGUUGUAAAGCACUUUAAGCGAGGAGGAGGCUCUUUUGGUUAAUACCCAAGAUGAGUGGACGUUACUCGCAGAAUAAGCACCGGCUAACUCUGUGCCAGCCGCCGCCGUAA
rnacentral:rRNA from 1 species